rnacentral:lncRNA from 1 species
AGCUGGAGUGUCGCCUGCUUAGAGCUCCCAACCACUCUGUUGGUCAACAAACCCUGUUUCCAAUCUCAUUGCUCCAGCCUUUGCCUCCUCCUUCUUCUAAUAAUCUUCUCUCUCUACGCCAGCUGAUCUCAGCUCCUUUAACUUUUACCUUGAAGGGUCAAAGAGAAACAAGGCCCAGUUUACUCAGCUUAACAAGUGCCAGCUGUUCCCAGCCCAGGGUCCCAUCUACCUCCUACCUCAGGUCCAUUUUCUCCUUUCAUCUGGGCUCAUGGUAGGAAGGGAUUCAGGUCUGCUGUACCCCCAGAUGCUUGCUGAUCCAGGAGAUCACACAGCCUCCAUUACCCAGAGCUAAGCCCAAUGCAGGGCCAGGCCAGGAGGAGGCCUAGCUUUUCCACCAUAUCAGAGGGUGCUUCUGCAAGAUUGGGUGCAGGGUUGCUAAUGGGGAUGAGGGCAGGAGGGCUCAUAGGAUGACUCAAUUUGCAGUGCAGGUUCCCGGGGUAGAUGGUGGUGCUGUUAAUCAAGUUCAAGGGUAAAGAGCCUCCUUGGAUGAAGUAGAGAGAAGGAUGCAGUCCAUAUUUUUAUGGUACCACCCUAGCAUGCACAGUGAAGUCUGUGUGAGGUUAUAUGAUGUAUGGUUUUUAUAUCACACAUACAUGUAUUGAAAAUAUGUUGAGGGAUUUCCUGUUGUGGCUCAGAAGUAGCAAACCCCGCUAGUAUCCAUGCUCCAUAAGGAUGAGGGUUCGAUCUCUGGCCUCGCUCAAUGGGUUAAGUACCACAGCUCACAGCAAUGCCAGAUCCUUAACCCACUGAGCGAGGCCAGGGACCGAGCCCACACCCUCAUGGAUCCUAGUCGGGUUCGUUAACUGCUGAGCCACGAAGGGAACUCCCUAGAGAUAAUUAUUUUUAGAUAGUUGGCAAGUGACAUCAAUAUUGCUGAAGGUAUUUUUGGUUUGGGCUAAUAGUAAUGAUCUUAAGCAUGGCCCUGUGAUUUUUAAGGACUAUUUAAAGACUAUUAUAGGUUAAGGAGCUGGGUCACAUUUGUUAUAUUAAAUCCUUCAGCCAUAAGUUAUAUGUGCUGUAUGUUUAUAUGUGUGUCCAGGUAAACAUGUCUUGACUGUUGUUGAAAAUUCUUGUCUAUAACAUUUAAACCUAGGCUUAGACUGGUUGGCUCUGGGCAAUCUGGUGACUAUUCUAAAUCCUUUUUCAAAGGCAUGUUGAUUUAAUCAAACAUGUGACUCAUUUCUGAGAGUUGUUGCAACCAAUGGAUAUUCUCUGGCAUUAUUCAAAGAGAAAUCGGCCAGUUUAUUUUUGUUAAGAAUGCUUGCAGAGUUCCUGUUGUGGCUCAGCAGAAACAAAUCUGGCCAGUAACCUUGAGGAUACUGGUUCAACCCCUGGCCUCACUCAGUGGGUUAAGGAUCUGGAGUUUCUGUGAGCUGUGGUGUAGGUUGCAAACACAGCUUGGAUCUGGUGUGGCUGUGGCUGUGGCGUAGCCCAGUGGCUACAGCUCUGAUUCGACCCCUAGCCUGGGAACAUCCAUAUUCCACAGGUGUGGCCCUAAAAAG